UACGGGGGGGGCAAGCGUUGUUCGGAAUUACUGGGCGUAAAGGGCUCGUAGGCGGCCAACUAAGUCAGACGUGAAAUCCCUCGGCUUAACCGGGGAACUGCAUCUGAUACUGGAUGGCUUGAGAUUGGGAGAGGGAUGCGGAAUUCCAGGUGUAGCGGUGAAAUGCGUAGAUAUUGGGAGGAACACCAGUGGCGAAGGCGGCUCACUGGACCGGUACUGACGCUGAGGCGCGAAAGCGUGGGGAGCAAACAGG
rnacentral:rRNA from 1 species